rnacentral:lncRNA from 1 species
UACUCAAGGAAAUGGUAAAGUACCAUUUGACUCGAAAUAAUGAAACCUUCAUAGCUAAUUGGUAGCUUAAGAUAACUACAAUCAAAGAGAAUGGUUGACUUUGAAGAAACCAUCUUUGAGAUAGGCUUGGUUUCAAUUAAUUCGAAGAUUGCUAGCUACAACUAAAAUGGUGAUUCAAUGUUUUGACAUAAUAUGGGUUUCCGAAACCAUUAUUAAGAUAGUCUUGAUAAUAUAUGUCCAAAACUAUAAAUCACAAGAUAUGUAAGUUGUAGAGAUCCAUCCAUCAUGGAUCUUAGCAAGUUAGUGGGAGCUAUUUGCAUUUUAUGAGGAAAAGGAUCAAAUCGUUUGAUUUCUCAUCAAGAUGUAAAUGAAUCUUUUGUUUACGAGUUUUACAAAAGAUUAGUGGGAGUUAAUCAUGUUCCUAAAAUUUAAGUAUAUAUGAUAUAUUAAUUUUGGAAAUAAAAAGAAUACUUCUUCGUUAAAGUUAUGACUUUAAUACAUUAUAUGAAGAUAGAAUGUAUAUGGGAAAUAUAGUCUAUAUACAUGGGAUGGAAAUCUAUAAUGAUAUAUUUCAUGAUAUAAUUGGAUUAUAUCAAUCCCUA